GACGAACGCUGGCGGCGGGCUUAACACAUGCAAGUCGAGCGGAAGGAUCCGGCUUUCUUGCAGUGCUCGAUUGGCGCACGGGUGCGGGACACGAGAGUAACCCGCCCUUGCCUUUGGGAUAACUUUAGGCAACUGGGGCUAAUACCGGUUAGGAGCUCCUGCUGUAUGGUGGGUGCGGGUAAGUUUCGGCGGUUGGGGAUGGACUCGCGGCGUAUCAGCUUGUUGGUGGGGUAGUGGCUUACCAAGGCUUUGUCGGGUAGCCGGCCUGAGAGGGUGACCGGCCACAUUGGGACUGAGAUACGGCCCAGACUACUACGGGAGGCAGCAGUGGGGAAUAAUGCACAAUGGGCGGAAGCCUGAUGCAGCAACGCCGCGUGCGGGAUGACGACCUGCGGGUUGUAAACCGCUUUGGGCUGUGAGGAAGCGUGAGUGACGGUAAUGGAUAAAGAAGCACCGGCUAACUACGUG
rnacentral:rRNA from 1 species